rnacentral:rRNA from 1 species
GACGAACGCUGGCGGCGUGCUUAACACAUGCAAGUCGAACGAUGAAGAAGAGAAACGCGAACUUCGGUUCAACUUUCACUUCGGAUUAGUGGCAGACGGGUGAGUAACGCGUGAGCAACCUACCUCUUACAAAGGGAUAGCCUCGGGAAACCGUGAUUAAUACCAUAUGACACAUUCAUAAGGCAUCUUAAGAAUGUUAAAGCUACGGCGGUAAGAGAUGGGCUCGCGUCCCAUUAGCUAGUUGGUGAGGUAACGGCCCACCAAGGCGACGAUGGGUAACCGGCCUGAGAGGGUGAACGGUCACAUUGGAACUGAGGCACGGUCCAAACUCCUACGGGAAGCAGCAGUGGGGAAUAUUGCACAAUGGAGGGAACUCUGAUGCAGCGACGCCGCGUGAGCGAUGAAGGAAUUCGUUUCGUAAAGCUCUGUUCUAUGGGAAGAAAAGGACUGUACCAUAGGAGAAAGCCCCGGCUAAAUACGUG